GAUGAGCGCUAGCGGCAGGCCUAACACAUGCAAGUCGAGGGGUAACUAGAGUGAUAGCAAUAUUACUUUGGCUAGACCGGCGCACGGGUGCGUAACACGUAUGCAACCUACCUUAUACUGGGGAAUAACUUCGAGAAAUCGGCGCUAAUACCCCAUAACAUUGCGAAGAGGCAUCUCUUUGCAAUUAAAGCUCCGGCGGUAUAAGAUGGGCAUGCGUCCAAUUAGCUAGUUGGUGAGGUAACGGCUCACCAAGGCUACGAUUGGUAGGGGUUCUGAGAGGAUGAUCCCCCACACUGGUACUGAGACACGGACCAGACUCCUACGGGAGGCAGCAGUGAGGAAUAUUGCGCAAUGGACGAAAGUCUGACGCAGCCAUGCCGCGUGCAGGAUGACGGCCCUAUGGGUUGUAAACUGCUUUUGUACGGGAAUAAACCCUUCUACGUGUAGGAGGCUGAAGGUACCGUAAGAAUAAGCAUCGGCUAACUCCGUGCCAGCAGCCGCCGUAACAC
rnacentral:rRNA from 1 species